rnacentral:rRNA from 1 species
UACGGAGGGGGCUAGCGUUGUUCGGAAUUACUGGGCGUAAAGCGCGCGUAGGCGGACCUGCAAGUCUGGGGUGAAAUCCCACGGCUCAACCGUGGAACUGCCUUAGAUACUGACGGCCUCGAGGGAGAUAGGGGCGAGCGGAACUGUGAGUGGAGCGGUGAAAUGCGUUGAUAUUCACAGGAACUCCGGUGGCGAAGGCGGCUCGCUGGAUCUUUUCUGACGCUGAGGCGCGAAAGCUAGGGGAGCAAACGGG